CUAUCUGCAGUCGAACGGACUCAUUAAGAAACUUGCUUCUUUGACUUUCGCGUCGGACAGGUGAGUAUCACGUGGGCAACUUGCCUGUAUAACUGGGAUAACUUCCGGAAACCGAAGCUUAUACCCGAUAGGAUCUUCUCCUUCAUGGAAGAUGAUUGACAGAUGGUUUCCGCUAUCACUUACCCAUGGGCCCUCGGUGCAUUAGCUAGUUGGUGAGGUAACUGCUCAACAAUGCAACGAUGCUUAGCCAACCUGACCAGGGUGAUCGGCCACUCUGGGACUGACACACGGCCCAGACUCCUACGGGAGGCAGCAUAUAUGCGAAUCUUCCGCAAUGCGACGAAAGUCUGACGCGAGCAUCUCCGACGUGAGUGAUCAAGGCUUUCAGGUCUUACAACUCUGUUGUUAGGGAAGAACAAGUACGAGAGUAACUGCUCGUACCUUGACGGUACCUAACCAGAAAGCCACGGCUAACUACGUGCCAGCAGCCGCGGUAAUACGUAGGUGGCAAGCGUUAUCCGGAAUUAUUGGGCGUAAAGCGCGCGCAGGCGGUUUCUUAAGUCUGAUGUGAAAGCCCACGGCUCAACCGUGGAGGGUCAUUGGAAACUGGGGAACUUGAGUGCAGAAGAGAAAAGCGGAAUUCCACGUGUAGCGGUGAAAUGCGUAGAGAUGUGGAGGAACACCAGUGGCGAAGGCGGCUUUUUGGUCUGUAACUGACGCUGAGGCGCGAAAGCGUGGGGAGCAAACAGGAUUAGAUACCCUGGUAGUCCACGCCGUAAACGAUGAGUGCUAAGUGUUAGAGGGUUUCCGCCCUUUUAGUGCUGCAGCUAACGCAUUAAGCACUCCGCCU
rnacentral:rRNA from 1 species